CCUACGGGAGGCAGCAGUGAGGAAUAUUGGUCAAUGGGCUUACGCCUGAACCAGCCAAGUCGCGUGAGGGAAGACUGCCCUAUGGGUUGUAAACCUCUUUUGUCAGGGAGCAAUUGGCGCUACGUGUAGAGUUAUCGAGAGUACCUGAAGAAAAAGCAUCGGCUAACUCCGUGCCAGCAGCCGCGGUAAUACGGAGGAUGCGAGCGUUAUCCGGAUUUGUUGGGUUUAAAGGGUGCGUAGGCGGAAUGCCAAGUCAGCGGUAAAAUCGCGGGGCUCAACCUCGCUCCGCAGUUGAAACUGGCGUUCUUGAGUGGGCGAGAAGUAUGCGGAAUGCGUGGUGUAGCGGUGAAAUGCAUAGAUAUCACGCAGAACUCCGAUUGCGAAGGCAGCAUACUGGAGCCCAACUGACGCUGAAGCACGAAAGCGUGGGUAUCGAACAGGAUUAGAUACCCGAGUAGUC
rnacentral:rRNA from 1 species